AUGGUUCUCACAGUGUUCCGUGGCGUUGGUUGCACGGCAGAGACGGUCGACACGUGGUUGGAGCGGCAAUCGGAAUGCGAGGAGGCUAGAGGCGGUGGAUUUCAUGUGACCAAUCGAUUCUCGCGUGUGGUGACCGGGAACGGAGCAUCGGUGGUUGUGCGCGAGCGAUUUCAGGCGCGAUCUCCGUCGCUGUUGGUGUUGCGCCGUGACUAUGACCGGAGUUUUAAAGGCGCGGUUGUAUUCGAUCCAUUUUUCGUUUGUUCUUCCUUUUUUUGA